AGAGUUUGAUCCUGGCUCAGAACGAACGCUGGCGGCGUGGAUUAGGCAUGCAUGUCGAACGAUCCCGCAAGGGAUAGUGGCGAAAGGGUGCGUAACACGUGGGCAAUCUGCCCCCGAAACGGGAAUAACUUCGGGAAACCGAAGCUAAUACCUGAUGACACCGAGCUGCCGCAUGGUGGCACGGUGAAAGGCGUCCGCAAGGGUGCCGAUCGGGGAUGAGCCCGCGGCCUAUCAGCUAGUUGGUGAGGUAACGGCCCACCAAGGCGAUGACGGGUAGCCGGCCUGAGAGGGUGGUCGGCCACAUUGGGACUGAGACACUGCUCAGACUCCUACGGGAGGCUGCAGUCGAGGAUCUUCCGCAAUGGGGGAAACCCUGACGGAGCGACGCCGCGUGGAGGAUGAAGGCCUUCGGGUCGUAAACUCCUGUCAGUCUGGAAGAAAAUCUGCAGCAAUGUGGAUUGACCGUACAGGCAGAGGAAGCUCCGGCUAACUCCGUGCCAGCAGCCGCGGUAAUACGGAGGGAGCGAGCGUUGUUCGGAAUCAUUGGGCGUAAAGGGCAUGUAGGCGGCUCUGUAAGUCGGGUGUGAAAUCCCAUCUCUCAAGGGUGGAACGGCAUUCGAAACUGCAGGGCUUGAGUUCGGGGGAAGAGAGCGGAAUUCUCGGUGUAGCGGUGAUAUGCGUAGAUAUCGAGAAGAACACCAGCGGCGUAAGCGGCUCUCUAUCCUGAAACUGACGCUGAGGUGCGAAAGCCAGGGGAGCGAACGGGAUUAGAUACCCCGGUAGUCCUGGCCAUAAACGAUGUGCACUUGGUGUUGGGCCGCGAGGCUCAGUGCCGAAGCUAACGCAUUAAGUGCACCGCCUGGGGAGUACGACCGCAAGGUUGAAACUCAAAGGAAUUGACGG
rnacentral:rRNA from 1 species